UACGUAGGGGGCGAGCGUUGUCCGAAGUUACUGGGCGUAAAGCGCGCGUAGGCGGGGGAUUAAGUGAGAGGUGAAAGGCUGGGGCUCAACCCCAUGCAGUGCCUCUCAUACUGGUUCUCUUGAGGGCGGUAGGGAGAAGUGGAAUGGCUGGUGUAGCGGUGAAAUGCGUAGAUAUCGUCCAGAACACCGAUAGCGAAGGCAGCUUACUAAGGAGUAACUGACGCUGAGGCACGAAAGUGUGGGGAUCAAACAGG
rnacentral:rRNA from 1 species